rnacentral:misc_RNA from 1 species
AUUUCAAAGAAGAUUGCUGGUGUUGAGCGCACACGUUUAAGGGUCAUUGCAAAAACUUUACAGCCUCAAGGAUAUGGUCUUACAGUAAGGACAGUUGCAGCUGGUCAUUCACUAAAUGAAUUGCAGAAGGACUUGGAAGGGUUGCUUUCAACUUGGAAAAGUAUAAUUGAGCAUGCAAAGUCUGCAGCUCUUGCCGCAGAUGAAGGUGUUGAUGGAGCAGUUCCUG